rnacentral:tRNA from 1 species
GGGCGCAUAGCUCAGUGGUAGAGCACCUCGCUUACAACGAGGGGGUCACAGGUUCGAUCCCUGUUGCGCCCA